rnacentral:rRNA from 1 species
UACGUAGGGGGCAAGCGUUGUCCGGAUUUAUUGGGCGUAAAGAGCGUGUAGGCGGCCUGGAAGGUCAGCUGUGAAAACUCGAGGCUCAACCUCGAGCUGUCGGUGGAAACCGUGUGGCUAGAGUCCGGAAGAGGAGAGUGGAAUUCCCGGUGUAGCGGUGAAAUGCGCAGAUAUCGGGAAGAACACCCGUGGCGAAGGCGGCUCUCUGGGACGGUAUUGACGCUGAGACGCGAAAGCGUGGGGAGCGAACAGG